rnacentral:rRNA from 1 species
AUUGCCGCGCGCGGCGGGCGGGGCGGGGGCACGGGGGGACUCCUACGGGAGGCAGCAGUGGGGAAUAUUGCACAAUGGAGGAAACUCUGAUGCAGCAACGCCGCGUGAGUGAUGAAGGUCUUCGGAUUGUAAAGCUCUGCCUUCUGGGACGAUAAUGACGGUACCAGAGGAGGAAGCCACGGCUAACUACGUGCCAGCAGCCGCGGUAAUC